UUUGUCACUUCCACUUCCAGAACUAAUUAUUUCAGUUCACUUCAUAAGUACAUACUGUGCUGGUUCUUAAUCAUAUAGCCUCUAUUGUUAAGAUCUGUUGUUAAAUUUUAGUAAUGGAAGUUCAUUUUUUAAUGUUCCAAAAUCUUACAACAAGAACAUUAUUUAGCAGCUGAAUCUAAUAUUAUGCUUGUAAUUGUUGCUCCUCAUCAUUGCAGGUUCUUAUAUACAGAGAUUGGACGUCUUCAGAACAUUCACAAUAGCCAUAGAUGUAGUGGAAAUGAACAAUUGCAAGUUGAUGAUUCUACAAGCUCGUUUUUCUCUCAGGGACAGAUUUUCCUGACCAAGGAAAAUGCAAAAUGAGACCGGGUUGGAAAUUGCAUCUAUAUAUCACACAGAUGCCAUAACUAUGAUUUAUGUGGGUCCACUACCCACUUACAGAGUUUUGUCUCUUUUUGUUGGUCUUUUCUUUCUUCCUUGAAGAUAUUGGUCAUGGCCUUUGUGUUUGGCUGUGCUUCGGUUAGCUCACCCCUAAACUGGAAUGUAUCCGCUGCCUAGUUCUGAAGAAUCAAGUUUAAGGUGUAAGGAAACAUUGUCAGCCCUUAAAGCCAUGCAGGGGCAAGGAGCCUAUCCACAACUAGAGCUGGACAUAGCUCACCUUGAAAAGGAAAUUGAGUUAUAUUCAUUGGAGAAGCUGUGUUAUGAAGCUUAAAUGAUGGUAUGGUAAAUGAGAAGGCUUCAUCUCCUUUUCAAAUAGGAAAUUGCUUCACAUCUGGGCUUUCCUGAUGGUUCUGUAAGCCACUAUGGCAUGGAUGUUGAUGUUAAUAGUGUGUUAUUAAUGGCUGACAUUGUUCUUUAUGGUUCCUUUCAAGAGGAACAAGGUUUUCCUCCAUUGCUAAUUAGAGCCAUGUCCUUUGAAGUACCUAUCAUUUCUCCUGAUUUGGCUAUCAUAAAAAGAUAUGUGAGUUUAGUUCCAUUUAAACUCAUCCUUGUUUCCUUGACAUUUACAUGAUUGAAGUUCGCAAUUUUUUAUUUAUAUUUAUUUAAAAACCCGUCUUAAUACAGGUUCUUAACGAAGU